GACGAACGCUGGCGGCGUGCUUAACACAUGCAAGUCGAACGGAAAGGCCCCUUUGGGGGUCCUCGAGGGGCGAAGGGGGGAGUAACACGUGAGUAACCUGCCCUUUCCUUCGGGAUGACUUCAGGAAACUGGGGCUAAUACCGGAUAGGAAUCCUUGCUGCAUGGGGGGGGUUGGAAAGCUCCGGCGGUGUUGGAUGGACUGGCGGCUUAUCGGCUUGUUGGUGGGGUAGUGGCUUACCAAGGCGUUGACGGGUAGCGGGCCUGAGGGGGUGACCGGCGACCUUGAGACUGAGGUGAGGCACAGGUGCCGACGGGAGGCAGCAGUGGGGAAGACUGAUCCAGGGGCGGCAGGCGGAUGCAGCAGGGCCGCGUGCGGGAUAACGGCCUUCUUGUUGUAAAACGCCUUCAGCAGGAGCGAAGCUUGUGGUGACGGUACCUGCAGAAGAAGCACCGGCUAACUACGUG
rnacentral:rRNA from 1 species